AUUGUUAAAUUUAGAUCGGUUAUCUAAUCGGUUCGGUUCGGCACACGGUAACCGAUCGGUUAACCGCAAACCAAGAGACCUCUAACCCUAAGACUCUUAUCUCUCUCCCUCGCAGCCUCUCAUUUUUUUCUCUCACGACUUCACUCUCCUUCUCUCACGAUUUCGAAGGAGAAAAAAAAGAGAAACACCAAAUCUCUUCUUAAUCUUCGAUCUCCCUCAUUCAUCUCUAACCUCUGUUUCUUGUAACUCGAUUCCUAAAUUUUCAAAGCCCCAGAUCGAUUCGAAGGAAACUAUCAAAUCGACUCGAACCCUAAACCAUCAAAGUCUCGAAAUUGUAAGAUGUCUUCUGAAGAUUACAUCGACAUGGACUCUGAGCCAAUUCCUCAAGAAUCUGCUAGCACUGGAAACAAAAGGAAAAGGGCUACAACUUGCUAGUGAUGUUGAAAGUGGAAAACAACUUGGGGUUGCCUUAUGAUGUUUUAGAUUGGUGGAGGUGUAAUACGUCAAAGUUCCCCAUAUUAUCUCAACUUGCUAGUGAUGUUCUAGCAAUUCAAGUAUCCUCUGUGGCUUCAAAAUCUGCUUUUAGCACUAGUGGAAGAGUAUUAGAUCCUUAUAGCAGUUCUUUAACUCCGUAUAUGAUCGAGGUUUUACUAUGUCUGCAACAAUGGCUGCGGUGUUCUUAUCAGUCUCAAGCAAAUGUUGCAAACUUGGUGCAAAUGCUGGAAGAAGAGAAUUUUCUUGACUCGCUUGAUUCUCGGAAUUCAAUAGCACCUUCUCAGUGAUCUUCAUCUUGGAAUGAAAUGGAAUGUAUGCAUCGUUGUUUCUUGCCUUGAUAGGAACCAGAAGUUAAAGCCUUGCGCUUGGUAUUUUGCUAUUUUCAUAAGUUGCACUUAUGACUCUCCUCUUUAUUUCAAUAAGACCUUAAUUUGGAUGUUUUGGGUUAUGUUAUGCUUCUCUUAUGAACUUUUACUGCUUAGACUUGAAGUAGAAACUGGUUUGUAAUAUUAUUGUCGUUUUUUGUUGCA